GUAGCUGCAGGGAGUAUUGUGUGUGCAGGUAAGCUUGUGGGUGAUUGUAUGUUGGCAGACAUUUGUGGCUGUGGUGUUAAAUCUGUAUCUUUGUAUGUAGAGUUGUGGUGCAGCUGAAAUUGCAGUGAUCCAGUUGAGGCGUGCCGGUUAGGCCAACACUGAAAAGGAGCUGACACAGUGUGCCGUCCCCAGUGUGAGGUACAGGGCAGCCAUUUAUCUGUAUUGGUGAAGGGUCCCCAAGUUGGAAAGCCUGGUUGCCAGACUGCUGCUUUGCGGAGGUUAAAUUCAACACUGCUGCCUGGCCCAUGUUGGAGGGUCUUCUCUUGGGUUUUCAGCAAGAUUGUAUGGAACUGUAAAACUGUACCUGCGACCCUCAAGUUUAGACCAGGGCUGUGAAUGUUGGGUCUUAUAUUGUAUUGAAUUUUAAGACGCCUUUUUAUCCAUAUUGUACUACCAACUGACUCGUAUUGCAUAGUGUUGUUUUGUGUUUUUCUAGGCAGUGUGGAGACCUGCAGGGAGUAGCUACUUGGGCCUCUCUCUUGCUUGCUGUGUGGUUUUGGUCUAUGACCUGAUGGUGGUGGUCACUUGGUGUUUUUUUUUAUUCAUUAUUAGGACCUUGUGGCUUGCAGUGUGGUCAUGUGCAUGGGUUGUUUCCUAGGCCGCAAUCGACCUCCCCGCAGGAGAUCCACUGCCCCUUUUCUCACUGCUUUAGCUUUUAGGGCAGAUACCUAUACCUGAUUGUUUCAGUAUUCGUUAAAUAAAAUCCCUUGACAGUUGCUUGUCCUGUUUAUUUCACAGGCCCAUUCAAUCAAAGUUGUGUGGGUUAGUUGGUACUUGAGAGCCUUAUAUGUAUGCUGUAUGUGAUUGUGCUGUUGUAUUGUGUUUGUUUUGUG